rnacentral:rRNA from 1 species
AUGGCUCAGGAUGAACGCUAGCUACAGGCUUAACACAUGCAAGUCGAGGGGCAGCAUGUGGUUGCUUGCAACCAAUGAUGGCGACCGGCGCACGGGUGAGUAACGCGUAUCCAACCUCCCCUUAGUAGAGGAUAGCCCGGCGAAAGUCGGAUUAAUACUCUAUGUUCUUCAAUGCGGACAUCUAAGUUGAAGCAAAGAUUUAUCGCUAAGGGAUGGGGAUGCGUCUGAUUAGGUUGCAGGCGGGGUAACGGCCCACCUGGCCUACGAUCAGUAGGGGUUCUGAGAGGAAGGUCCCCCACACUGGUACUGAGACACGGACCAGACUCCUACGGGAGGCAGCAGUGAGGAAUAUUGGUCAAUGGGCGCGAGCCUGAACCAGCCAAGUAGCGUGCAGGACGACUGCCCUAUGGGUUGUAAACUGCUUUUAUCAGGGAAUAAAGUGAGGCACGCGUGCCUUUUUGUAUGUACCUGAUGAAUAAGGACCGGCUAAUUCCGUGCCAGCCGCCGC